CAAGGGGCUCCAGCAGUUUCCAGGCUCCCCUCCGCGGGGCUGAAUGAUCAAAACUGGUGGUGAGAAUUUUUCCCGGCCGUUUCUAGGCAGCCCUCCCCCUCCACCAGUUCGGACCCCCCCUUCCUCCUCCUCCCUUUUUCCUUCCCCCACCCCCCAGCGUCUGGGCUGAGUGAUCAAAAUAGAGGAAGAUGGUUGUCGCCGCAAUCCAGGGCUUUGCAAGGCGCGGUUUAAUGGGCCGCCUGUCAGCUUCCUGCUCGCAGGAGGAGGUGACAAGCCAAGCGAGCCGGGAAGGGCUUGGGGCCUGGCGGGCUGCACCCCGUGCCCGGGCCCCAGGCCCCCCACCUCCCGUGGGGCGCGCCUUCUAGAACGCGCGGUGGAGACGCCAAAACAGACAAGGGCUGCUUUUUCCCUCCUCCCCACCCCCCCGCCUUAAAACAAAGCAGCGAUUCAUUCCCUCUCCCCCAGCAGCGCGGUUGGGUGGGACGGGCAGGCGAGAAGGCCGUUUUCCUAGCCCUGGUCUGCGGGUUCCUCCCUGAAACGCGGUGUCAGAUGGUUACUGAUUAAUAUUUUGGAGAGGCCUCGGCGGCGGGCAGCGGCAAAAUCCUUUCUGGGUUGAGUCGCCGGGAGCUGCCCGCAGCAACCUACUUGGCUGUGAGCGCGAAGAGUGCGGACGCGGUCGGAAGGGCAGUCCUGGGGGCCGGCACACGCUCUCCGCAGCCCGGCAAGGACCCGUGCCCGGCUAGGCAUUACGUACCCUCAAAAGGAAGCUUGGAGGGACAGAAAUCCUUGCCGAUCCUGCCUCGGAGAGCAACCGCGGCUUUGACAGCCCUCUGGCUUGGGAACCAUGCUGCAUCAGGCCCAUUUAACAGACGAGAAACCAGAGGCACAGAGAAGAGAAGCAACGUACUCACACAGCUAAGAAGUGGCAGCAGGCACCCUCAGCUAAGCCAGGCAGGGCACUGGGGAUACAGAUGUAAAUGUGGAGCCCCAGCGCCCCAGGGAGCUGCCAGCCUGACCAAGACUAGUUCAGGAAAAAGGUCACAUCUCCAGGUAUAGUCAUAUUCUGAGGUGCUGCAGGUGAGGAUUUCAACAGAUCUGCAUUUUUGGAGGACACAGCUCAGCCUGCAACAGCCCCUGCACCAAGGUCUGACUGACAUUAGCUGGUGGCUGCAGAAAAAGGGCUCCCGGGCGGAGGACCCAGCCCGGGCAAAGGUCCCGAGGCUUGGCCAGGCUUCGCCUGAUCAUCGUCUCACCUGCUGCUCAGACUUACCUCUCUUGGCCCAGACUGAAGAGCCAGGAACCGGGCGAUUCUCGAGGGAAGUGACUGGGCAGAAGAAAACAUCUGUGGCUGCUGAGGUGAGGCUCCUGAGACACCUACAGUUGGGGAGCAGGUCUGCCUCUGGGGAACCUGAGCUAAGACUACGGUGUCCAAGACAAGGAGGGAGGAGCAAAACUACUCCUGCCGCUUCUCCCCCUAUUCUCGAGGGCAGGAACGCUUCCCCUCGCCCCUGCUCAGCUUUGCCUCGCGUCCCAUUGGCCGGAAGUGGAUCACGUGGCUGCGCUUAUGCCAGUUGCGGGUUAGAGCAGGUGGAUUUCACGCCUGUCUCCCUCCAUCCGGUCACGGCUCAGCCCCUGGCCUGAGGAAUUGCUGUGGCUGCCUUUGGACCAUUCAGUCGGCCACAGUCUGCAAGCUGUCCCUGCACAGGCCAGCCAGGUCUGCAGAGGGAGCCCUGGGCCUGUGCUGGAAACCAGCCCUGCCUCUGCUCCCCAUGGACCUGGUUUCCUCAUCUGCAAAAUGGGGCUGAAGAUACCGCCUCUCAGAGGUGAUGAUCUGGAACAGGAAAUGUGGCUGAAAGGUGGUGAUUCAGGGGAGUGGGGUGACAGGGCCUGGCACUGCCCUAACUUCCUUCUCAGUCCCCCUGCAGGCGGUCCCCCACCCCCCUGUCACUGGGGCUGCAGCAGAUGACAUUGAAUUAAACGUGUGCUUUUAACAACUUCGCUGGUUCUGUCUUUCUUCCGUCUCACCUCCCCAA